ACAGAGGUGGCAAGCGUUGUUCGGAAUUACUGGGCGUAAAGGGCGCGUAGGCGGCCAUCUAAGUCAGACGUGAAAUCCCCCGGCUUAACCUGGGAACUGCGUCUGAUACUGGACGGCUUGAGUAUGGGAGAGGGAUGUAGAAUUCCAGGUGUAGCGGUGAAAUGCGUAGAUAUCUGGAGGAACACCGGUGGCGAAGGCGGCAUCCUGGACCGGCAUUGACGCUGAGGCGCGAAAGCCAGGGGAGCAAACGGG
rnacentral:rRNA from 1 species